rnacentral:rRNA from 1 species
UGUAGCAAUACAUCACCAAGAGUGUCGUACGGGUGCGUAACACGUAUGCAACCUACCUUGUACAGGAGAAUAGCUCGGGGAAACUCGAAUUAACCCUCCAUAACAUCUUGGUGAGGCAUCUCAUUGAGAUUAAAACUGAGGUGGUACAAGAUAUGGGCAUGCGUCUGAUUAGUUAGUUGGCGGGGUAAUGGCCCACCAAGACGAUGAUCAGUAGGGGACCUGAGAGGGUGAUCCCCCACACUGGCACUGAGAUACGGGCCAGACUCCUACGGGAGGCAGCAGUAGGGAAUAUUGGACAAUGGGUGAGAGCCUGAUCCAGCCAUGCCGCGUGCAGGAAGAAGGCGUUAUGCGUUGUAAACUGCUUUUGCCAGGGGAUAAAAAGACCGUGCGCGGUUAAUUGAAGGUACCUGGUGAAUAAGCCACGGCUAACUACGUGCCAGCAGCCGCGGUAAUACGUAGGUGGCAAGCGUUGUCCGGAUUUAUUGGGUUUAAAGGGUGCGUAGGCGGCUAACUAAGUCAGUGGUGAAAUAUCUCAGCUUAACUGAGAGGGUGCCAUUGAUACUGGAUAGCUUGAGUACAGAUGAGGUAGGCGGAAUUGACGGUGUAGCGGUGAAAUGCAUAGAUAUCGUCAAGAACACCGAUAGCGAAGGCAGCUUACCAAGCUGUAACUGACGCUGAGGCACGAAAGUGUGGGGAUCAAACAGGAUUAGAUACCCUGGUAGUCCACACUGUAAACGUUGAUGACUCGAUGUUGGCGAUACACAGCCAGCGUCCAAGAGCAAUCGUUAAGUCAUCCACCUGGGGAGUACGCCGGCAACGGUGAAACUC